UACGAAGGGUGCAAGCGUUACUCGGAAUCACUGGGCGUAAAGGGUGCGUAGGCGGGUCUUUAAGUCAGGGGUGAAAUCCAUGGAGCUCAACUCCAGAACUGCCUUUGAUACUGAGGAUCUUGAGUUCGGGAGAGGUGAGUGGAACUGCGAGUGUAGAGGUGAAAUUCGUAGAUAUUCGCAAAGAACACCAGUGGCGAAGGCGGCUCACUGGCCCGGUACUGACGCUGAGGUGCGAAAGCGUGGGGAGCAAACAGGG
rnacentral:rRNA from 1 species